GAUGAACGCUGGCGGCGUGCCUAAUACAUGCAAGUCGAGCGAACAGACGAGGAGCUUGCUCCUCUGACGUUAGCGGCGGACGGGUGAGUAACACGUGGAUAACCUACCUAUAAGACUGGGAUAACUUCGGGAAACCGGAGCUAAUACCGGAUAAUAUAUUGAACCGCAUGGUUCAAUAGUGAAAGACGGUUUUGCUGUCACUUAUAGAUGGAUCCGCGCCGCAUUAGCUAGUUGGUAAGGUAACGGCUUACCAAGGCAACGAUGCGUAGCCGACCUGAGAGGGUGAUAGGACACACUGGAACUGAGACACGGUCCAGACUCCUACGGGAGGCAGCAGUAGGGAAUCUUCCGCAAUGGGCGAAAGCCUGACGGAGCAAAGCAGCGUGAGUGAUGAAGGUCUUCGGAUCGUAAAACUCUGUUAUUAGGGAAGAACAAAUGUGUAAGUAACUAUGCACGUCUUGACGGUACCUAAUCAGAAAGCCACGGCUAACUACGUG
rnacentral:rRNA from 1 species